CCGGCGAUGUCCGAAUGGGGAAACCCAGUGCAAUUCGUUGCACUAUCGUUAACUGAAUACAUAGGUUAACGAGGCGAACCGGGGGAACUGAAACAUCUAAGUACCCCGAGGAAAAGAAAUCAACCGAGAUUCCCCCAGUAGCGGCGAGCGAACGGGGAGCAGCCCAGAGUCUGAAUCAGCUUGUGUGUUAGUGGAACGGUCUGGAAAGUCCGACGGUACAGGGUGAUAGUCCCGUACACCAAAAUGCACAGGCUGUGAACUCGAAGAGUAGGGCGGGACACGUGGUAUCCUGUCUGAAUAUGGGGGGACCAUCCUCCAAGGCUAAAUACUCCUGACUGACCGAUAGUGAACCAGUACCGUGAGGGAAAGGCGAAAAGAACCCCGGCGAGGGGAGUGAAAAAGAACCUGAAACCGUGUACGUACAAGCAGUGGGAGCACCUUCGGGUGUGACUGCGUACCUUUUGUAUAAUGGGUCAGCGACUUAUAUUCUGUAGCAAGGUUAACCGUAUAGGGGAGCCGCAGGGAAACCGAGUCUUAACUGGGCGUUAAGUUGCAGGGUAUAGACCCGAAACCCGGUGAUCUAGCCAUGGGCAGGUUGAAGGUUGGGUAACACUAACUGGAGGACCGAACCGACUAAUGUUGAAAAAUUAGCGGAUGACUUGUGGCUGGGGGUGAAAGGCCAAUCAAACCGGGAGAUAGCUGGUUCUCCCCGAAAGCUAUUUAGGUAGCGCCUCGUGAACUCAUCUUCGGGGGUAGAGCACUGUUUCGGCUAGGGGGUCAUCCCGACUUACCAACCCGAUGCAAACUACGAAUACCGAAGAAUGUUAUCACGGGAGACACACGGCGGGUGCUAACGUCCGUCGUGAAGAGGGAAACAACCCAGACCGCCAGCUAAGGUCCCAAAGUCAUGGUUAAGUGGGAAACGAUGUGGGAAGGCACAGACAGCCAGGAUGUUGGCUUAGAAGCAGCCAUCAUUUAAAGAAAGCGUAAUAGCUCACUGGUCGAGUCGGCCUGCGCGGAAGAUGUAACGGGGCUAAACCAUGCACCGAAGCUGCGGCAGCGACACUAUGUGUUGUUGGGUAGGGGAGCGUUCUGUAAGCCUGCGAAGGUGACCUGUGAGGGUUGCUGGAGGUAUCAGAAGUGCGAAUGCUGACAUAAGUAACGAUAAAGCGGGUGAAAAGCCCGCUCGCCGGAAGACCAAGGGUUCCUGUCCAACGUUAAUCGGGGCAGGGUGAGUCGACCCCUAAGGCGAGGCCGAAAGGCGUAGUCGAUGGGAAACAGGUUAAUAUUCCUGUACUUGGUGUUACUGCGAAGGGGGGACGGAGAAGGCUAUGUUAGCCGGGCGACGGUUGUCCCGGUUUAAGCAUGUAGGCUGGUU
rnacentral:rRNA from 1 species